GUCCCGGUGUCUCAGUCGGUAGAGCACCUGUACGCGGUAAGCGAAAGCGCCUAGCAAAAACUGCCAGGAGGUCGCAGGAUCAAAGCCUGCCAGGGUUU